AUCCAGCUGAGGAGUCUCAAAAUAGGACGGAACACAUGUUCUGUAU
rnacentral:hammerhead_ribozyme from 1 species